UUACUUACCUGGCAUGGGAGAUACCGGUUCACAAAAACGCGGUUCACCCAGGGCGAGGCUCAGCCAUUUGCACUCUGGCUGUGCUGACCGCUGCGAAUUCCCCAAAUGUGGGAAUACUUUCUGGUAGUUAACAUUUUUUUAACAACCAGUGGUGGCCUAGCGGUUAA
ensembl:snRNA U1 U1 spliceosomal RNA